rnacentral:lncRNA from 1 species
GACCACGGAGAAGAGCAUUGAUGAAAUUUCUGGACAUACUGACCUUGGCAUCAGAAGUAACCUGGAAAGGCAUUCCAUUACUCCUCCCGGCACUCGGUGGUAGAGUCAGAUUUGUUAGCCUUGUAUGGACUGGUAACUCUUCAGUGCUCGUGAAAGGUGGUGCUGCUGAGAACUAUUUUUGUAUAACGUUGUUUUGUCCUAGUCAAUUAGUUGUGAUGUAACAUAUGGUUAUCUAUGCAAUAUAAAUUUAUCAGAUACAGAUGCACGUGAAAAUGAUAUCAGUCAGUUCGCUCUUUCAACAUUUUUGAAAUAUCGAAAUGAACGGGUAAUAAGGCCAUUUUUCUUUGUCGAAGUAUUAAGGCCACUUAUGAAGAAUAGGAGUGUCUUUGAUUUAUGAUCCAUGUACAUUUACUUCAAGUGUGCAUUAUUUUCUCUUUUCGUGUCUGCUAUAAAUUGGACAAAACAUACGUAAAUCCUUUGUAGAGAUAAUAUCCGAAAGAAGUACGCAUAAGUGUUAAAAUUUGGCACAAAUGGAUGCAUAAUUGCCAAAACUUUCAAAAGGUACACUUAAGUGUCACAAGUGCCAACUCCGGUAAGAUUUUAGCAUUAUUUUAUUAAUAAAAUUGGUUUAUGAGGCUUGCUGAAAUGUUCACAGUAUCCUUGUUCCCAAACCAUAUCUUUUUGUCCCAAAAUAUGAUUUAAAAUAUAAAUUCUAAAUAAAUUAAAUUUUAGAAAAAGGGAAUCAGAUCUAGGGUUGUGGAGGCCCUCGAGUUCUUAAAAAAAAAAAAAUUUUUAAUUUGAAUUAAAUUAAUAUUUAUAUUAAAAAUCAAAAUCAGACCAAACCAUUGUCUUGGGCUUAGCUAGCCAUGUUAGUGCCACAUGUUAGCGCCACUUGGAUAAUUUUUUUUAAAUGAAUUGUCACAUAAGUUAAAAAUCUCACUAGAAAAAGCCAUGUCAGCUGUUUAGUUGGAGAUUCUUGCUGUUAGUAUUUAAGUAUUCAUUUCUUCUUUGAUUUUGGCACCCAAGUGUACUUUUUGAAAUUUUUGACACUUACAUGUUUACUUGUAUUGAGUUUUGGCAAAUAAUAUUCUAAUAUAACUUAUGUAACUUUUAGAAUGUCCCAAUAAUCAACUUGCCACAAUAUCAAAUUUUCCAUUUAAAAAAAAUCGUCAAUUUCAGUCGAGAGUUUUUAAGGCUUACUGCUAAAUCAAAUUCUUCUUUAUUAAUGUCUCCAUUAUUAUUAGUUAGAAAAACUAGCGACUCUUCUCACGUGGAAUUUAAAAUCUCUAUGCUUAGACGCUUUGAGUGUCUCUUUUAACUAUAGCUAUUGGCCCGCGAUAAUUAUCUAGAUGAAAUAUCCUAUCUAGAAGGAGACCUUCCAGAAUGUGCGACUACCAAUCAUCACACUUCUCUGAAAGCAUAGAUCAAAAUAGUUAGACAAUAGAUGCAUGCACACGUGAAAUAAAUUGAGUAGAAUAUAAUGUUAGAAAGUUCAGUUCAAAAAUUUAAACUAUUAUGUAGAGGGAUAAUCACUCAAUAAGUCCUAAACCUAUUAUACACAUGUCAAUUUAGCUUUCAACUUUCAAUUUUGUCAAUUUAAUUUUAAGCCUUCUUGUGAAAUUCCAAUGUAGUCAUUUUAAUUAAUUUUUGUCGAAAAUUGCUAAUAUGACAUAUGGCCACAUAGAGGUAGAAUGACAAGUGAUUAUUAGAUUGUGACAUAUGGCCACAUAGGUUGAUAGACAAUGGCUGGACUGUCACUUCAACGGUUUUGGCGAAAUUUGGUCAAAAAGAUUAUACUAAAAUCUCACAUAAGGAUUUAUGAUUAAAUUGAUAAAAUUUAAAAGUUUAGAAUUAAAUUGGUAUUCGUACAAUAUUUUCAUGACUGAUUGGACAAUUUUUCCGAUAGAUAAAAAGAGAUGACAUUAUAUAAAGAGUAUAUAAAACCCAUGAUCAAAGCAAUAUUAGAUAUUUCAAUACAUGUGCAUGCAUGCGUCGGUCUUCAAAGUCAAAGGAGCAAAAAAUAUUGAACAGCCCCCAAAAGAGAAGAGAGAGAGAGAGAGGGAAAAAGAAGAAUUUGACUUUUGGUCGGCUACUGGUGCUUUGGAUGUAUUCUCUUCUUUCGACGCGGUUUUGACGAUUCUGUGGGGCUAGGCAAGAAUCGCGCAGGAGGGCCAAUUUUACAUAAUUAACAAAGCGACAGCCCCUUCUCUUGUUUUGGUUUCAUCCUGCUCUCGAAGCCCUCUUAUUUGUUUUUCUCCUCUUUUGCCGUCUAUUUUGACUCUAAAUCGGUGCGACAAACACUGGUCCCAUUCACUUUUCUAAAAACGCCCUCGUGGAAAUGCAGAUUCAGCUAGUGGCAUUUGUACUUUAAUCACUAAGAUAUGCAUGCGAACAAAACCCAUGCAGAACACUACAUACACUAUUUUUAUCGUACCCUACACUAUUUUUAUCCACUCGCCCGAAAGAUACAAGACACUUCGCGUACCACCUCUCUCUCGCCAGCCAUCUUUUUGUACUGCUUCUCCUUAGUUUGACCUCUCCUUCGUGCUAUAUAUACAUGCACGUUGUGGAUGCAUUGCCUCACACCAAAGUCAGAACAUCUUAGAGAAUCAACAUCUCAGUCGUCUAAGCAAAAGCUUAUACACUUCAUUCAACUAUUUUCGUAACAAUGGAGGGUCGCUUCUUUCCCAACAAAGCCGCCUUGUUCAUGAUGCUUCUUACGGUAUGCAUUGCACCAACCUUGGUACAAGGACAAGGUACGAGAGUAGGGUUCUACUCAAGUUCGUGUCCGCGUGCCGAGGCCAUUAUUAGGUCGACCGUUCAAGCCCAUUUCAAAUCUAAUCCCACUGUGGCUCCGGGGUUGUUGAGGAUGCACUUUCACGACUGCUUUGUCCAAGGAUGCGACGGUUCCAUCCUCAUCGAUGGGCCCAACGUUGAGAAAACGGCAGGUCCAAACCGUUUGUUGAGAGGAUAUGAAGUGAUCGACGAUGCAAAGACUCAGCUCGAAGCUGCAUGUGCCGGCGUCGUUUCAUGUGCUGAUAUUCUCGCUCUUGCAGCCCGUGAUUCCGUUUUUCUGGUACUUUAUAAUCUCGUGCUUCCAUUUAUUAGAGAUCUCCGAUAUGAGUGCAAACCAAUGUGGAUCAAUUUCAUUCACUUCUACGCAAAUCUUGGCGACGGCAACAUGAUUGAUAUCUUUUAAUUGCAAUGAUUCUUCAAAUAUUUGAGAUAUCUUGAGUGAUGUGAUUCAUGAAAUUCAAUGCAGACGAAUGGACGAAGUUGGGCCGUGCCGACGGGACGUAGAGAUGGGCGGGUCUCCUUGGCAUCAGACACUGCAAAUUUGCCAGGUUUCCGGGAUUCAGUUGAUGUGCAAAAGAAAAAGUUUGCCGACUUAGGACUGAACACCCUUGAUCUCGUUGCUCUUGUUGGUCAGUAUUUUCAAUUUGUCGCCAUUUCAAUUUACUAUCCUGCAGUACAGAAGUUGGCAACCGAACGCGUUAUACUGCAGCAUUUCCAAACCUAAUUAUUUUUCUCCCGUCUGCUGAAUCUAAGGACAACUCCGCCCGUCGGUAGUUGUUAUAUUUCUUCUUGUCCUGUUGUUAAGGACGACUGUGGCUGUCCCUAAAAUCUGAUUAAUCUUCUUUCUAAUUUCCUUUAAGAGCUGUAAACAUGAAGUUUAUUUGUAAACAUGAAGUUUAUUUGUCAUAGGUAAGAUAGAAUAGACAUAUUAAAAACUUGUCGACUUAUUGCUUCUUGCUAUCUCGUAAUUAAAUCGAGUCUUCCCAUAUGUCCAUGCGCAUCAAAAGGGAUACACUGAGUUUCUUCGCUUUUGACCAAUACGCGAUACAGGAGGGCACACCAUAGGAACUGGAGCUUGCCAGUUAUUUAGCUACAGACUCUACAAUUUCACCAAUACUACAUCAAGUGGAGCCGACGCUUCCAUCGAUCCUUCCUUUGUUUCUCAACUCCGGUCUCUGUGUCCACAAAACGGUGAUGGCACGAGGCGUGUUGCCCUCGACACCGGCAGCCCUAGUCGUUUCGAUGCAUCCUUCUUUGCAAACUUGAGGAGCGGAAGGGGAGUUUUGGAGUCUGAUCAGAAGCUAUGGACGGAUGCCUCCACCAAAACCUUCGUGCAGGGCUUUCUAAGCAGCCAAGGCCCGACCCGGUUGGACUUCAACACGGAGUUUGCUAAAUCGAUGGUGAAGAUGAGUAACAUUGGCGUGAAGACGGGGACCAAUGGUGAAAUUAGGAAAAUAUGCUCUGCCAUUAAUGCAUGAUUUAGAUCAUUAAAGAUUAUUGCAUUUUGGUAUUUCAGUGUUAUCUGUUAGAGUCCGCGUAAGCUGAUUCGUGGUGCAUUUUAAUGAAAGAAGGGAACGUGUAGUACUUUAUAAUUAUAUAAAGUUGAUGGCUAUCGUCUCAAAAAUGAAAAUCUCGACCAUGAAUUUCAAGAUUUCUUAUAUUCUUGUUCCGGUGCCAUUUGAUUUUUAUUCAAAACUAGAUGUUGGUGGCUUAUUUAUUCUAGUAAAUGUGUGACGAUUGACAUAAUCUAAGGUUUUUAGUGGCUUUAAAAAAUGCAUUUUAUGAUAAAACCUAACAAAUAUUUAUAGAAUAUAGUAACAUAUAGAAAAUUAUAUUUUUGAAUGUUUUGUAUUUGAUCAUAUUUUAACAUCAUAAAUUCGCAAGAUUUGAUAUCUUUUCAUUUACGUUCACAACUCUAAAAAGCGUCUUGCUAGGUGGUACAAAAUCAAUGACCUAUCUUGAGCUCGACUUGGGUUCAUUAAUUUUUUUUAUGAAAUCGAUUUAUAUUAUUAUAAUGCCUUCAUAUAGAAAAUUAAAAUAGAGUAAAGUAAUUUGACACAAUUACGAUAUAAUUAAUAAAAAACAUGUAUACACUUCGGUUGUUGGAAAAUAAUUCAUUAUAUAUAAGUUUUGAUAACUUAAUUUGUCCUUUUUUUUUCUCUUGUUAUUCUGUACUUUAUUUUGUUAGCCAACUAUAUAUUUAAUUAUUAGGAUCAGCAUUGUUAUGUCAAGAAAAUUUCCAUUUAAAGCUCUGUCACGUUUGUGAUAGUGAUGUGCGACUCAUUUGCGACUUCCGUGCCACUCACAUGCUUGUUCUGUAGCAACGUCAAAGAUGCGAGGAACCCAAUAGUGGAAAAAUUUACAUCGAUGCGGCAAACACUAGUGUCAUUCACUUUUCUAGAAACGCCCUGGAAAAAAUGCAGAUUCAACUAGUGGCAUUUGCCCUAUAAUCACUACUUAUAUGCACACGAACAAAAGUCAUGCGGAGAACGACGUGCACUACUGUCAACGUACCCCACUCCUUUUUUCCACUCGCUCGAAAGAUUCAAGAAACUCUCUGUACGACCUCUCUUUGUCUCGCUCGCCAGCCAUCUUUUUAUACUGCUUCUCCAUAGUUUUGACCUCUCCUUCACGCUAUAUAUACAUGCCCAUUGUGCAUGCAUUGCAUCAUACCAAACUCAGAACAUCUUAUAAAAUCAACAUCUUAGUAUUCUACGCUGAGGCUUAUUCACUUUAUUCCACUAUUUUCGUAACAAUGGAGGUGGCUUCCUUCUCAACAGAGCCACCUUGUUCAUGAUGCUCCUCACAUUAUGCAUUGCACCGAUUUUGUGCAAGGACGAGGUACGAGAGUAGAGUCCUACUCAGGUUCGUGUCCGCGUGCCGAGGCCAUUAUUAGGUCAACGAUUCAAGCCCAUUUCCGGUCCGAUCCCAUUGUGGCUCCUGGGCUGUUUUUUUUUUUUUUUUUUUGGUCGGUCUUACGCUAAUCCUGCCUUAACACUCACUUUCAGACUUUUGUCCUACCUCCUUGUAGUGUGUGGGAGUUGAAACCCACUCCUGAAAUGAAAUCGUCCCCACCCCAAUCCCCCAUGAGAAAGUGGGGAUUUGAACCCCUCACCUCCCCCUAUGCACUUUCAUGAUCGCUUCAUCCAGGGAUGUGACGGUUCGGUUCUCAUCAAUGGGCCCAACGCUGAGAAAAUGGCGCCUCCGAACCAUUUGCUGAAAGGAUAUGAAUUGAUCAAUGACGCGAAGACCCAGCUCGAAGCUGCGUGUCCUAGUGUCGUUUCAUGUGCUGAUAUUCUUGCUCUUCCAGCCCGUAAUUCCGUUGCUCUGUUAUUUAAUAGUCAUGUGCUUCCAUUUGUUAGAGAUCUCCGCUACAAGGUGCAAAUCUCUGUGUGGAUCAAUUUCAUUCACUUCCAUGCAAAUCUUGGGCGAGGUCCAUGAUAUAUGUGAGGGUUCUGGACUGGACGUGGAUUCCUUAAUUUUCCGAUAGAUAUAGUGAUGCCCUUGAUGCAAGGCCUAGUUUUGUUACUGGUUAUCUACUAGCUACAAGGAGAAUAACUGGUAUCAUUCAAGUAUGCAUAUAUUCCUCUUAGUUGCAUACAUUGGCAGUUGAUGAGCAUGAUGGGAGAGUUGACUUGUAUAAGACUAGGAGAUUUAAGCCGUUUAAGCAGAUGCACAACACUUUUAUUAGAUAGCCAAAUAAACUUUGGUAGCAACACUGAAGUUUAGCAAGACAGAAGUUAGGCCAUGAAGUCUAAGGACACAAAUGAUGCAGAUUGAUAACGUGAGGAGGUGUAGAUGAACCAAUAACCAUUAGGUUUUAACAUGCGUGGUUGUUAGAGAUCUUACCUUAGUUAUAAAUUUAUCAGGUAAAGCUGAAGUCGUUUUUUCCACUCUCUAUUUCUAGACUUUUAAAUCUACCUGUUUAGGCUUCAUGACUUUUGGGUUGAAUUUCUGCUAUGACUUACCAUCAGGUUGAAAACACUAUUGGAGAGUUAGGGUGCGUUUGUUUGCGUUUCUGUUUAAAAAUUGUUCCAGGGAACAGAAAUAGAAAAAAAUGUUUCUGUUCCUGGGAACAAUUUCUGAACAAAAAAACGCGUUUGGUAAACUUGUUCCGGGAACAAAAAAUAAAUAGAAACACGUUUGGUAAAUUUGUAUAAUUUUUUUAUUUCUUUUAUUUUUUUCUUAUUUUUCCUUUUUUUCUUUUUUCUUUUUCCUUUUUUCUUUUUUCUUCUUUUGGCCGGUCGUCGGCCUCAGCCAUGGCCGGCGACCGGCCGACGAGGGUCGGUGGCCUCGCCGUAGCUGGGCGAGGGUCGGCCUCGCCUUGGCUGGGCGAGCUCGAGCUCGCCCAGAUUCGGCGAGGCCGAGCUCACCCAGCCCGACGCGCCGACAUCUCGCUGGAUCUGGGCGAGCUCGAGCUCGAGCUCGCCCAGCUACGGCGAGGCUCGGCCUCGCCGGGGGCCGGCGAGCCUCGCCGUGCCUGGGCGAGGCCGCCGGCCCUCGUCAGCCGGUCGCCGGCCAUGGCCGAGGCCGGCGACCGGCGAAAGAAAAAAGAAAGAAAAUAAGAAGAAAAAGAAGAAAAAUUUCAAAAGUGUUUCUGAUUUGUGUUUCUUGUUUCUGUUUCUUUUUUGUUCCUGGGAACAAAAUAACAAAAAAAACAGAAAAAGUGUUUAAAAACAAAAAAAAGAAAUACAAACAAACGCAGCAUUAUACUUUCGAGAAGUCAGUGCGACUGCAGGUGCUGUCACAAUCACUUGCCUCAUGGUCUGUCCAUUGCUGUGUUCAUGGCUUCGGCAAUAGUCUCGUAGUAUAAUUUUACACGAGUUUUUGGUUUGGGCAUUAUAUUGUAUUGAUAAAGACAGAGAUGCCAUUGGGCAGAGAUGCCAUUGAGCGUAAAAAUCUCUUGGUCGUGGGUACAUUUUUCUAUUUCUUCACGAAAAUAUUUUUAAUAUCUUAACUUUUGGAUUCACCUGUGUCAGGUUGCAAAUAUCGUUGGCUUUGUGAUUGGACCAUCUGGUAUCAAUUGGUUAAUUGCUCGAUUCCUUCAUAAAGAAGGUAUAUCCCAAUGUUGCCACCUUUGCAAGAGCUAAACAUGCAUUGUCUGUAAAGAUUGACUUUCUAUUUUGGUGAUAGUGCAUCAUUAACCAUGUUACUCGAUACAUCUCCUAAGAUUGAUGCUCCAGUGCUCAUUAAAUUUCAGCUCCAUUUUUAUCAUCUAGAAAUAUGGUCUCAAAGACAAUCGAUGCAGUCCUUGUGUGGCUUUCUAGAUAAGAAUGACCCACCUUAGGGAGCACAGUACGGUGUUAAUUUUUUGUUUUUUUUUAGGAUUGUUCCUUUUAAACUUUCAGGCUGAUAUGGAUCAAGUCUUUGAAUAAGAUACAUUGUUGAUGUUAUCAAAAGAUUUCUUAUGUGAAACUUUUGAAGCCUGCUGGUUGAUAGCAUAGGAUAAAUGGUGCAAGUUGUGCCUUUGUCAAAUAAGACAUUCUUCAACCUGCCAGCCUCUCCAAGCUGUCCGCAUGAAAUGCAAAAGAUUUAGGCAAAAGCUUUCUGCAUGAGAUACACAAGUUUAAGGCCAGUUGGACCAUUACAUAUGUACUAGCUAUCAUUAUUUCAGUUUUCCAUUUUACACAGUAGUAUUGGAGCAAGCUCCAUUCUGGGUGAGCACUUCACAAGAUCCAAGUCUGUUGAUGCUUUGUUGAUAGUUAAGCCAGUGCAAAAUUGGUUUUGAGCUCACUUUUCCUCUCUAUUGGCAAUUGAAACUGUAACUAGAGUCUGGGAGGAGUUGGAUGGAUGCUGCUCUAGUGGGCAAGCGGAGAUCGUCAGCCGCUUCUGAUAUCGCAGAGCUCUAUUAGCAUCUAAGAGAUUCUGCCAAAUUUGUCCUUUCAUGUCACUACAUAUAUCAUUUAUUGGGGAUUCUUGAACUUGAACGAUUAGUUCUUGCUACUUGCGGAGCUGUUAUCUUUGUUUUCACCUGUCUUUUUUCCUUCUUAUUCCCUCAAUUUUGGACCUCCAGGCAUUGAUAGAGCAUCCAUCUUGCAGGAUGCCUGUCCUUGAUGGCAUGUUUUUGACAUUCUAUGUGGGGACCAAUGCAAGUUAGAUAUCAACUUAUCUUUGCCAUUAAUUGGACAAAAGUGACCAGAGUGACCUAUUUCCCUGUUUUGCAGCUCAUGAUUCAUAUCCAGGAUGCCAAACGGAAAGGACGGUGAAUCAGACACCAUGAUUUGAAAGGGUUGUACUCAGUUGCACCACUGCACAGUAGGAUUAUUUAGCAAUCGACCACGGAGAAGAGCAUUGAUGAAAUUUCUGGACAUACUGACCUUGGCAUCAGAGUUAACCUGGAAAGGCAUUCCAUUACUCCUCCCGGCACUCGGUGGUAGAGUCAGAUUUGUUAGCCCUGUAUGGACUGGUAACUCUUCAGUGCUCGUGAAAGGUGGUGCUGCUGAGAACUAUUUUUGUAUAACAUUGUUUUGUCC